rnacentral:rRNA from 1 species
AUUGAACGCUGGCGGCAUGCUCUACACAUGCAAGUCGAACGGCAGCACGGGGGCAACCUUGGUGGCGAGUGGCGAACGGGUGAGGAAUGCAUCGGAACGUGUCUUUAAGUGGGGGAUAACGCAUCGAAAGGUGUGCUAAUACCGCAUAAUCUCUGAGGAGAAAAGCAGGGGAUCGUAAGACCUUGCGCUUUUGGAGCGGCCGAUGUCUGAUUAGCUUGUUGGUAAGGUAAAGGCUUACCAAGGCUUCGAUCAGUAGCUGGUCUGAGAGGACGACCAGCCACACUGGGACUGAGACACGGCCCAGACUCCUACGGGAGGCAGCAGUGGGGAAUUUUGGACAAUGGGGGCAACCCUGAUCCAGCCAUGCCGCGUGAGUGAAGAAGGCCUUCGGGUUGUAAAGCUCUUUCAGCCGGAACGAAACGGUUACGGUUAAUACCCGUGACUACUGACGGUACCGGAAGAAGAAGCACCGGCUAACUACGUGCCAGCAGCCGCGGUAAUACGUAGGGUGCGAGCGUUAAUCGGAAUUACUGGGCGUAAAGCGUGCGCAGGUGGUUUUGUAAGUCAGAUGUGAAAUCCCCGGGCUCAACCUGGGAACUG